GCUUGCUGCAUGCUUUAUACAUGCAAGUCGAACGAAGGCCCUAGCUUGCUAGGUGUCCUUAGUGGCGCACGGGUGAGUAACACGUGGGAACAUACCUUAUAGUACGGAAUAACUGCGGGAAACUGUAGCUAAUACCGUAUACUCCAGUAAUGGGAAAGAUUUAUCGCUAUAAGAUUGGCCCGCGCAAGAUUAGCUAGUUGGUGAGGUAAAAGCUCACCAAGGCUUCGAUCUUUAGCUGGUUUGAGAGGAUGAUCAGCCACACUGGGACUGAGACACGGCCCAGACUCCUACGGGAGGCAGCAGUAGGGAAUAUUGGACAAUGGGGGCAACCCUGAUCCAGCAAUGCAGCGUGAGUGACGAAGGCCUUAGGGUUGUAAAACUCUUUCAUCGGUGAGGAUAAUGACAGUAGCCGAAGAAGAAGGACCGGCUAAUUCCGUGCCAGCAGCCGCGGUAAUACGGAAGGUCCUAGCGUUGUUCGGAAUUACUGGGCGUAAAGCGCAUGUAGGCGGAACAGAAAGUUAGAAGUGAAAUCCCUGGGCUCAACCUAGGAAUUGCUUUUAAAACUUCUGUUCUGGAAUUCAGGAGAGGAAAAUGGAAUUUCCAGUGUAGAGGUGAAAUUCGUAGAUAUUGGAAGGAACACCAGUGGCGAAGGCGAUUUUCUGGACUGAUAUUGACGCUGAGAUGCGAAGGCAUGGGUAGCAAACGGGAUUAGAUACCCCGGUAGUCCAUGCAGUAAACGAUGGGUGCUAGUCGUCGGACUUUUGUUCGGUGUCGUAGCUAACGCGUUAAGCACCCCGCCUGGGGAGUACGGUC
rnacentral:rRNA from 1 species